rnacentral:rRNA from 1 species
GAUGAACGCUAGCUACAGGCUUAACACAUGCAAGUCGAGGGGAAACGGCAUUUAGUGCUUGCACUGAAUGGACGUCGACCGGCGCACGGGUGAGUAACGCGUAUCCAACCUUCCCAUUACUGUGGGAUAACCUGCCGAAAGGCAGACUAAUACCGCAUAGUCUUCGAUGACGGCAUCAGAUUUGAAGUAAAGAUUUAUCGGUAAUGGAUGGGGAUGCGUCUGAUUAGCUUGUUGGCGGGGUAACGGCCCACCAAGGCAACGAUCAGUAGGGGUUCUGAGAGGAAGGUCCCCCACAUUGGAACUGAGACACGGUCCAAACUCCUACGGGAGGCAGCAGUGAGGAAUAUUGGUCAAUGGACGAGAGUCUGAACCAGCCAAGUAGCGUGCAGGAUGACGGCCCUAUGGGUUGUAAACUGCUUUUGUAUGGGGAUAAAGUCAAUCACGUGUGAUUGUUUGCAGGUACCAUACGAAUAAGGACCGGCUAAUUCCGUGCCAGCAGCCGCGGUAAUACGGAAGGUCCGGGCGUUAUCCGGAUUUAUUGGGUUUAAAGGGAGCGUAGGCCGGAGAUUAAGUGUGUUGUGAAAUGUAGACGCUCAACGUCUGACUUGCAGCGCAUACUGGUUUCCUUGAGUACGCACAACGUUGGCGGAAUUCGUCGUGUAGCGGUGAAAUGCUUAGAUAUGACGAAGAACUCCGAUUGCGAAGGCAGCUGACGGGAGCGCAACUGACGCUUAAGCUCGAAGGUGCGGGUAUCGAACAGG